rnacentral:SRP_RNA from 1 species
UGGCUGUCAUGGUCAAAAAGUUAGGAGAUCACCUUGAGCCUGUUGGGCGUCGCUUCACACACCCACUUGUUCAGUCGUGCCUUGCUCGGAAUUUCGGGUCGUUCAUCGUACUCGUGUGUGCAGACCACGAUCGCUACGGAACGUUAAGUCAUUGGAAGUGACACUUGAGGGAAGCGAUUCUGCAGAGACUCUUCCACCCGGAGUUGGCGAUGUGAGAUUACACACUGGCAAGAUAUGCGAAGUCCCAGGUUCGAUGUGGGUGACCAACUUUUUU